UAAUCGGAAUUACUGGGCGUAAAGCGCGCGUAGGUGGCUUGAUAAGCCGGUUGUGAAAGCCCCGGGCUCAACCUGGGAACGGCAUCCGGAACUGUCAAGCUAGAGUGCAGGAGAGGAAGGUAGAAUUCCCGGUGUAGCGGUGAAAUGCGUAGAGAUCGGGAGGAAUACCAGUGGCGAAGGCGGCCUUCUGGACUGACACUGACACUGAGGUGCGAAAGCGUGGGUAGCAAACAGGAUUAGAUACCCUGGUAGUCCACGCCGUAAACGAUGUCGACCAGCCGUUGGGUGCCUAGCGCACUUUGUGGCGAAGUUAACGCGAUAAGUCGACCGCCUGGGGAGUACGGCCGCAAGGUUAAAACUCAAAUGAAUUGACGGGGGCCCGCACAAGCGGUGGAGCAUGUGGUUUAAUUCGAUGCAACGCGAAGAACCUUACCUACUCUUGACAUCCUGCGAAUUUGGUAGAGAUACCUUAGUGCCUUCGGGAACGCAGAGACAGGUGCUGCAUGGCUGUCGUCAGCUCGUGUUGUGAAAUGUUGGGUUAAGUCCCGUAACGAGCGCAACCCUUGUCCUUAUUUGCCAGCGCGUAAUGGCGGGAACUCUAAGGAGACUGCCGGUGACAAACCGGAGGAAGGUGGGGACGACGUCAAGUCAUCAUGGCCCUUACGAGUAGGGCUACACACGUGCUACAAUGGUCGGUACAAAGGGUUGCCAACUCGCGAGAGUGAGCCAAUCCCGAAAAGCCGAUCUCAGUCCGGAUCGGAGUCUGCAACUCGACUCCGUGAAGUCGGAAUCGCUAGUAAUCGUGGAUCAGAAUGCCACGGUGAAUACGUUCCCGGGCCUUGUACACACC
rnacentral:rRNA from 1 species